AUUGAACGCUGGCGGCAGGCCUAACACAUGCAAGUCGAACGAGUGGCGGACGGGUGAGUAAUGUCUGGGAAACUGCCUGAUGGGGGGGGAUAACUACUGGAAACGGUGGCUAAUACAGCAUACCAUCAGAUGUGCCCAGAGGGGAUUAGCUAGUAGGUGCGGUAACGGCUCACCUAGGCGACGAUCCCGAGCGGGUCUGAGAGGAUGACCAGCCACACUGGAACUGAGACACGGUCCAGACGCCUACGGGAGGCAGCAGUGGGGAAUAUUGCACAAUGGGCGCAAGCCUGAUGCAGCCAUGCCGCGUGUAUGAAGAAGGCCUUCGGGUUGGAAAGUACUUUCAGCGGGGAGGCGUUACCCGCAGAAGAAGCACCGGCUAACUCCGUGCCAGCCGCCGCGGUAAUUC
rnacentral:rRNA from 1 species